CGCCCGGCCGAGCGCCUUCACUUCACCGAGCACGCUAAAACUUCCGAAGCGCCGACUUUAAAUAUUUGUUUUUAAUUUUCUGGCUCAAAAAUUGGAACUAAGGGGGGUGGCUCCCGCCGCCCCGCUCUGCUUGCACACGGGGGCUGGGUGUUAGCGCUCCCCUGCUCAAACAUUUGCUCCUCGCCCCCCGCCGAAUUAACCCCCCGUGCGGCUCCUAUUAGCUUUUAAUUAGAUUUUCUGCCCCCGCACACGUCCGAGGGACCGGGUUGCGCGGUGGUGGAGCGAGAUUUCUUCCAGAGCCUCUUUGGCUAAACGUAUUUACAAUAACUCGGCUGCCGACCUGCGGUGUCCUCUCGGGGUGAUGCUCCAGAGCUCCUGCCCAGGAGCUGCCCAGGGCUACCUGAGGGUGUUUGGUGAAGGGACUUCUCCCACGAGGAAGAAGGAAAGACUGAAAGAAAAGGCAAGAUAAUCAAAGAGCAAGAAGUCCAAAUGGAGGAAAGGUGGGAGAAUCAUUCCUCGGAGGUGUGUGCAGGGAAACGUGUUGGGAGAAACCUGCCCAUGUCUUCAGCUCCCCGUACCCAGCAAAAAUGCACAAAGCAGGCAGCAGAAGGGCUGAUGUUCUCCAAGCCCACCACAUGGCCAUGGCCAAGAUAGCCCCAAACAAACAGAGGGGGCAGCAAAAUGAAUCCUGGCCGACACUCAUCAGCACCAAGACCCGGGUGCCACCGAACCACCUUGUUUCGAUUGUAGCUCUAGCACUCGGCUGCUCACACCAGCUUCUCCUCAGCCUGGACCAAGUCCUGGGGAGGCGGGUGCACAUUUUGCAGGCCCACAUCGCUGUCCAGGAGAGGUGCAGAAGAUGAAGAGCACGUCUCAGCCCCUGCAGGUCGGGGCCCUGCAUUGUUACUGCAGCGCUGGGGCGAGGGAGCAGGGAGGAACAGGCAGCGACUGUGCUGACGGCGGGCUGGGAAUAGCCUCACUUCUCAUUCUCUCAGACAAGCAAUUAGAGCCAUCU